rnacentral:rRNA from 1 species
UGUGUAGGCGGUGCUCUAAGUUCGGUGUGAAAUCUCCCGGCUUAACUGGGAGGGUGCGCCGGAAACUGGAGUGCUCGAGCGUGGGAGAGGAAAGCGGAAUUCCUGGUGUAGCGGUGAAAUGCGUAGAUAUCAGGAGGAACACCUGCGGUGUAGACGGCUUUCUGGACCAUUGCUGACGCUGAGACACGAAAGCGUGGGUAGCAAACA